CAUGAAUGACACAUCGUGACCCAUGGAUGCCCCGGCUCUUUGCAUCCUGCACAUAGACACGUGACAGACACUUGAUGAGACUCCUUGAUGCAAAAAGCAUAUACUUUUUAGUUUUACAAGGAAGGAGUCUCUCUAAGAAAAUGUUCAAGUGGAUUUUUGGCUACCCAGCAAAUUAUUCUAACAGCCAACACUAUGAAAUACUGUAUCCAUGAAGAAAAUGAGACCUAGAGAAGUCAAGGACCUCGCCGAAGAUCCCUUGCCUGUAAGGAUGAAGCUAGGAUUCAAAUUCAGACAGCCUGGGUUCCAGAGCCAGCAUGCUUUUAACCUCGUUCACUUCUCUUCCAGGUAUCAGACCAACAGAAAACCAUGCAAGACAUGAUUGGACGAUAUAAAAGGAUGUUGCAUAAUAAUCUGAAGUCGUCAUACACUGAAGAAUAACAAAAG